rnacentral:lncRNA from 1 species
UGUCCAAGGUAAGGAGCACCUGUGAGUCUAACUGCCAGGCUCUGAUGGGGGUCUCGUCUCUGUGGGACUAGAAAGUAUCCCAACAAUCUGACCAAGGUAACAGGAAGAUACAAAAGCAAAGAGAAGGACAGGUUAAGUUGGUAAGAAAGUUAGUGUAAGUAGAUAAGAAAGUGCAGAAGAGGAAAAACAAAGGAAGGAUAGAGGUCUGCAAAGAAGUGAGCUAAAAGCAAAUCUUCAGCAGACUCAGGAGAGAUAGAUGACAGUGGCAAAUAGAUAGGUCUAAAAUGAGAGAGAUACUCUGAAUGAGAAAUAUUUAGAGGAAGAACCAGUAAAUAAGAGUCAGACAAGAAGAAGAGUUAAGGAAACAUGAGGCUGACAAAGACAGAGACCAGAGUCAGAAUCAGAGCUGUGCUGUGAGACAAAAAGAUAAGAGAAAUAAAAUGUUGGCCACAAAAGUCAGGGAAACUAGAAAACUUAGAUAGUACCUGGCAACAAAAGAAAGCUUUUGGCUAAAGAUCAAUGUGUUUAAGAGAUAACAAAAGG